AUCUAUGACUUUGGCUUUAAAUCCCUUAAAAUUCAGUCUCACCAUAACCCCACUGACACAAAUAUUACAGUUGUGUUUGUGUGAAUCUCUCAUAGAACAAAAAUGAGUAUCUUAAUAGAGAAGCAGAAAUUGAUCCUAAAGCCACAAGAAUAUACCAUACAAGUACUAAAAUUAGUCUAUUUUGCCAUCAAUCUCUAAAAUCAGUGUGUCACUUCUGGUUACCAGGAAUAUUUUAACCACACUUAUUAUUACGUAGACGUUAUUUCCAAGAGCAAAUAACAAAGGUACUGUUAACUCAAACAUCAGCCCAGACCUGUAAUUACAGUGAUUAUCUUCAGUAAUGUAAGUUUUCUGUAGCAACAAAACUUUUGGAUGAUAACUAUUUCUUUUUUCUUUUUUUUUUUUUUUUUUGGCUUCAUAACUAACACACAGGACAACUUAAGACUUUCAUUACACAGAAAAAUGAGGCCAUUAAUAACUCUGCUACAAGCCAUUAAUUAUUAACUUUCACCCUUUUAUAAUUAAAUUUUGUAAAGAUUUUUUUUUAUAGUUGUGAACUUCUCUUUCUUCAAAAUGACCAGAAUUCCUGAAUCAAGCCUCAGCAUUCACUGUUCUUAGUGAAAGAUAAAAUCCUCUGGGGUAACAAAUCUCUGCUGGGAACACUGGCAGCUCACACGUCCCCUCAGGCAGCACUCAGCACAAGAAAGUCAUAGACAUUAAAAACUGAAAACUCUUCAGCCCUAGCCAUCAAGGGCAAGCUGAUCUGCAGCACUUCAAACUACAAAUGUGCAGAACUACUAGUGGAAAUCUCCACUACACAACCCUUAUCUUCAGACACUCUUAGUUUCUCACCAUCCUGUAACAAGAUUUACUGACAGCAGCCUAACGACCAAUUUCAGCUGAGUUUCAUUUGGAUUUAGGCUCUUCUGUGUGUUUUUAUGAACACAAAGAUGGAGUCAUCCUACUGUUAAAAUAAGAGUUUUUGAAUUUUGGAAUCAAGUUUAAAAGCUCUUUCCACU
rnacentral:lncRNA from 1 species